AGUGGCGGACGGGUGAGUAACGCGUGAGAAUCUGCCUCUAGAACGGGGACAACAGAGGGAAACUUCUGCUAAUCCCGGAUGAGCCGAAAGGUCAAAGAUUUAUCGUCUAGAGAUGAGCUCGCGUCUGAUUAGCUAGUUGGUAAGGUAAAAGCUUACCAAGGCGACGAUCAGUAGCUGGUCUGAGAGGAUGAUCAGCCACACUGGGACUGAGACACGGCCCAGACUCCUACGGGAGGCAGCAGUGGGGAAUUUUCCGCAAUGGGCGCAAGCCUGACGGAGCAAGACCGCGUGGGGGAGGAAAGCCUUUGGGUUGUAAACCCCUUUUCUCAGGGAAGAAGAAAGUGACGGUACCUGAGGAAUCAGCCUCGGCUAACUCCGUGCCAGCAGCCGCGGUAAUACGGAGGAGGCAAGCGUUAUCCGGAAUGAUUGGGCGUAAAGCGUUCGUAGGUGGCAAUUCAAGUCUGCUGUCAAAGACAGUAGCUCAACUACUGCAAGGCAGUGGAAACUGAAUAGCUAGAGUGCGGUAGGGGCAGAGGGAAUUCCCGGUGUAGCGGUGAAAUGCGUAGAGAUCGGGAAGAACACCGGUGGCGAAAGCGCUCUGCUGGGCCGCAACUGACACUGAGGGACGAAAGCUAGGGGAGCGAAUGGGAUUAGAUACCCC
rnacentral:rRNA from 1 species